UACGGAGGGUGCGAGCGUUGUCCGGAAUCACUGGGCGUAAAGGGCGCGUAGGCGGCCUGAUAAGUAGGGGGUGAAAUCCUGCGGCUUAACCGCAGGGCUGCCUUCUAAACUGUCAGGCUAGAGCACAGUAGAGGCAGGUGGAAUUCCCGGUGUAGCGGUGGAAUGCGUAGAGAUCGGGAAGAACAUCAGUGGCGAAGGCGGCCUGCUGGGCUGUUGCUGGACGCUGAGGCGCGGACAGCGUGGGGAGCGA
rnacentral:rRNA from 1 species